AGAGUUUGAUCAUGGCUCAGAUUGAACGCUGGCGGCAGGCCUAACACAUGCAAGUCGAGCGCGCCCUUCGGGGUGAGCGGCGGACGGGUGAGUAUCGCGUGGGAACGUGCCCUUCUCUACGGAAUAGUCCCGGGAAACUGGGGGUAAUACCGUAUACGCCCUUUGGGGGAAAGAUUUAUCGGAGAAGGAUCGGCCCGCGUUGGAUUAGGUAGUUGGUGGGGUAAUGGCCCACCAAGCCGACGAUCCAUAGCUGGUUUGAGAGGAUGAUCAGCCACACUGGGACUGAGACACGGCCCAGACUCCUACGGGAGGCAGCAGUGGGGAAUCUUAGACAAUGGGGGCAACCCGGAUCUAGCCAUGCCGCGUGAGUGAUGAAGGCCUUAGGGUUGUAAAGCUCUUUCAGCUGUGAAGAUAAUGACGGUAGCAGCAGAAGAAGUCCCGGCUAACUCCGUGCCAGCAGCCGCGGUAAUA
rnacentral:rRNA from 1 species